AGGGGAUGAGGGAUGAGGAACAUGAAGCCAGGGGGAUGAGGAACAUGAAGCCAGGGGGAUGAGGAACAUGAAGCCAGGGGGAUGAGGAACAUGAAGCCAGGGGGGAUGAGGAACAUGAAGCCAGGGGGGGAUGAGGAACAUGAAGCCAGGGGGAUGAGGAACAUGAAGCCAGGGGGAUGAGGAACAUGAAGGAUAAACAUGUCUGGCAGCAUGACCUUAUGAAGUACUUAUUUGCCAGAUGCACAUUAACAGAACGAUCAGUGAGAGCAGUAAUGGAACCCGAAUGGAAAACAACUUAAAUCCAAAAUGUCCUAGUUUAUCUUUCAGCCACCCAAACGGGAAGCAGGAGUCUUCUCCCGGGGACGGUGUAGGUAUCAGCCAACUGUGUUAUUUCUUUUAAACUCUCGGUCAUAUUAUCAGAGGAGUCAGGGAGAAGCAUAGCACAUUCAGUGGGGGGAAAUAGAAUUUAGGGCCCUGCAGUAUCCCCCCCUCCUUAUCCAGGAUGCAGUCUAAUCCCGGGCUAUACCUGGCUGUAACAGCAUUAAGACUGAUCAUAGUCAAAUAGUCAAAUUCAUAUUGGCCUGUAUGGAGUAGGUGAUGUUGUUAAUUCAAUCACUUACAACAAUUGAUCAUAACAACUGACUCUGAGGGUUUUUCAAAACGACUACAUUCGAACCACUAAGCGUGACUUGUCUACUCAGGUUUUGGACCAUGUUUACCCUUUUGAUUACUGGUUUUCAAUUGGUUCCCCUGCAUCUCUAUUCCUCCGAGCAGAGACUGCUGGUGCAGAAUAAGAAGCACCAAAAACACGUAUCUUAAUGGUUUACCCCAAGUUCUGUUUUUAACAAUGUGAGCGUAAUGUUCAUGUGUAACAACAUCAGGGUCUGGUUGUGCACUCUUAUCUGUUAGGAUGGUUGUGACAGAUUCUAGCAGUGUGAGGGGAGACAAUGGGGGCUGUGGCGUCUCCUGGCAGUGUGAGGGGAGACAAUGGGGGCUGUGACGUCUCCUGGCAGUGUGAGGGGAGACAAUGGGGGCUGUGGCGUCUCCUGGCAGUGUGAGGGGAGACAAUGGGGGCUGUGGCGUCUCCUGGCAGUGUGAGGGGAGACAAUGGGGGCUGUGGCGUUUCCUGGCAGUGUGAGGGGAGACAAUGGGGGCUGUGAGAGAUGGGCUGCUGUGAGAGAUGGGCUGUGACGACUCCUGGCAGUGUGAGGGGAGACAAUGGGGGCUGUGGCGUCUCCUGGCAGUGUGAGGGGAGACAAUGGGGGCUGUGGCGUCUCCUGGCAGUGUGAGGGGAGACAAUGGGGGCUGAGACGUCUCCUGGCAGUGUGAGGGGAGACAAUGGGGGCUGUGGCGUCUCCUGGCAGUGUGAGGGGAGACAAUGGGGGCUGUGGCGUCUCCUGGCAGUGUGAGGGGAGACAAUGGGGGCUGUGGCGUCUCCUGGCAGUGUGAGGGGAGACAAUGGGGGCUGUGGCGUCUCCUGGCAGUGUGAGGGGAGACAAUGGGGGCUGUGAGAGAUGGGCUGUGAGAGAUGGGCUGUGAGAGAUGGGCUGUGAGAGAUUCUAGCAGUGUGAGGGGAGACAAUGGGGGCUGUGAGAGAUUCUAGCAGUGUGAGGGGAGACAAUGGGGGCUGUGAGAGA
ensembl:lncRNA